rnacentral:rRNA from 1 species
CCCUUAGAUGUUCUGGGCCGCACGCGCGCUACACUGACUGGUGCAACAAGUGUCGCUCCUUGGCCGAUAGGCCUGGGCAAUCUUUGAACGCCAGUCGUGAUGGGGAUAGAUUCUUGCAAUUUUUAAUAUUCAACGAGGAAUUCCUAGUAAACGCGAGUCAUCAACUCGCAUUGAUUACGUCCCUGCCCUUUGUACACACCGCCCGUCGCACCUACCGAUUGAAUGGUCCGGUGAACCCUCCGGAUCGGCUCGCGCCAACGCAAGUUGAGCAAAGGCCGAGAAGUUGGGUAAACCUUACCAUUUAGAGGAAGGUGAAGUCGUAACA